UUUUUUUUUUAUUAGAUUUCUCCUGGGAAAACAACAUGUUAAACCACAAAAAGGAGAGAAACCAAUAGGAGGAAGAAGGAAAACAAUCAAGAAAAAGAGGGGGGAGGAAGAAGAAGAAGAAAAAGAAGUGGGGGAAGAGACGGCGAAUACCUGGCAAUCGCUAAGGGAAGCCUGCGGCGAGAGAAGCGAGCAAAGGCCGAAGCCGGAGAAGAAGCGGGUGACCUAGAGCAACCAGUGAAGAGGCUCGGAGAAGAAGAGCGGAAGGUCAGCAGAGCUCUUCGGGCACCGCCCAUGGCGGCCAUUGUUCCGCCCUCACCUUCGAGUUCGAGUACCCCCUUCGGAUCUCGAACCCUUACUCUCGAGCCCCGUUACGCUAGUCCGUGGAGGCGCAAAUUACCCAAAAUAAUCCGCUCAGUGGAGAACUCCUUGGCAUGAUCUGAUGAUAAUAUAGUGGGAUUAGUGCCGCUAGAACAGUUUAGAUUGAAUUCUCCUUGAGAGCAGUAUACAGGACUUUUGAAGACAGGCCCUAGGGCUAGGGCUAGGGCUAGGGC
rnacentral:lncRNA from 1 species